UACGGGGGGAGCAAACGUUGUCCGGAAUCAUUGGGCGUAAAGCGCGUGUAGGCGGCUUCGUAAGUCCGUUGUGAAAGUCCAGGGCUCAACCCUGGAAUGCCGAUGGAUACUGCGGAGCUAGAGUCCGGAAGAGGCGAGUGGAAUUCCUGGUGUAGCGGUGAAAUGCGCAGAUAUCAGGAGGAACACCGGUGGCGAAGGCGGGUCUCUGGGCCGAUACUGACGCUGAGGAGCGAAAGCGUGGGGAGCAAACAGG
rnacentral:rRNA from 1 species